ACAGUACAAACUGAUCAGGCCAUAAGUUGUAGUAAUUUAAGGAGCCGGGCCAAAAUAGGCAACAGGGUUAUUUAAUACCUGUGGGACAGU
rnacentral:ncRNA from 1 species